CCGGGCCGGGCCGGGCGGAGGGGCCGCCCCGCCUCUUAGUCGGCGGCAGCUGCUGCUGCGGGGCCGCCGCCGUGGGCAGCAGCCAUGCCGCGCUCGCUGAAGGAGGAGACGGCGCUGCUGCUGGAGGAUUACUUCCAGCACCGCGCCGGCAGCGCCGCGCUGCCCUGCAGCCCCACGGCGGGCACGCUGCGGCGGGCGGCGGCCGAGCUGGAGCGGCAGGAGCGGCCCUUCUUCCGCUCCUGCGCGCCGCUGGCGCGGGCCGAGCCGCGGGAGGCGGCCGCGCUGCUGGGCAGGGUGGCGGCGCAGAUGGAGGCCGACGGCGGCCUCAACUGGGGCCGGCUGCUGGCGCUCGUGGUGUUCGCCGGCACGCUGGCGGCCGCGCUGGCCGAGCGGGGCUGCAGCGACGGGCCGCGCUGCCUGGCCGCUCACCUGGCCGCCUACCUGGCCGAGGAGCGCGGCGAGUGGCUGGAGGCGCACGGCGGAUGGGAUGGCUUCUGUCGGUUCUUCGGCCGGCCGGGCUCGGAGGGGGCCGAGCAGAGCAGCACCAUCGGCAACGCCAUCGUGGCGGCGGCGGCGGGCAUCGGCAUGGCGGGGCUGGCCUUCCUCCUGGUGCGGUAGGCCCACGGACACAGCUUGCCCAGGGAAAGUACUCUCAAAACUGACAGUUUACCAGAUUUCACUUUAUUUUCUAUAGAACAGACCCUCUAAGAAGAAGUCUAUAUUUUUAAACUGGCUCAGAAAACUGCCUCACCAAAUCCUUGGUUAUAAACUGCUUCACUCACUGCCCAGUGACGGCACAGACCAAGCACUAUUAGAGCACUAUUUGUGCAUGUUCAAAACCCAUUGUCUCCAAACAUCCUCUGGACUUUCUUUUUUGAAGGUGUAACCUAAACUUUAGCAUGGUUCAUGUACUGUAACUUCUGAGUGCUUGGUGUUAUGCUAGGAAAACAUUAUGGUGGGCUUGCUACUAAACGCUCUGUUCAAGACGUCUCAUUUACGUGGAGGCAAGUUUGGAACCCGCGUUCGUUAAUGCUGUAAAGUGGGCGAAGCUUGACUGUGACCUAACGUGGCUUAUGGCUUCAAACGUGGUGACAGCACUUGUAAUCAAAAGGCAACUCAUUUGUUGAUUUAGGGCAGUUGGUGCCUGUGAUGCUAGAAGCAUUAGGGCUUGAUGUAACAUAAGGCUGAAUUCAUUACACUACAAGAAGGUGUGAUGGGUGCUGGUGCUCAGACAGUGAGUGUUUUGUGGAUGCAUCAGUUUAUAUUCACUGGUAUUGCUGGUGCUUUGACCUGAGACAAGGACUUGUGGAGCACCAGAGCAGUCCUGCAGUCCAAACUGGAGCUGACACAGCCUGGGUGGAAAAUCCCGUCCAAAAGGUCCAUCUUCACCAUCGGGAUUGGAAGCAGCCUGGUAGUUUUGUUGGCCAAAGUUUACUAACAUAGUGCUUCUGUACCAGACUCCAGCUGGGUUGUCCUUGCCAGGACAAAAUGCUGUGUGGAGAGAGCAGUCAUGGCUGGGAAAUCACUUGCUUUCUGGUUUAAAAGGUAUAGCCUCAAAACAAGGGAGGUGAAGGUCACACAGUGAAGGAAGCCCAUGAAUACAGCCCUGUCUGUGGCACUGGGGCUCCUGUGAGCAGAGGUCGAGCCCCAGGUGCCCCCAGGGCAAGGCUGGCAAAGGACUGAGCUUUGAGCCCUGCUGUGCUGAUGUUCCUGAGGGUCAGCGGGGGAUCUGCUCCAGGAAAAGCAGAGCCCUCAUCUCAUCCUUGAGCAGAAACUGCCAAAGCAGCCAGAAUCAAGCACGAGCUGAGCCUCUAUCACUGAAGAUUUAAACUCUAAUCCAGUCUGAAUGGCAUCACCAAGAAUGAGAAUGAGAAAAUGUCCUUUCUCUGCCUGAGCCUGGCUUUGGAGCAUCCAUUGCUGAAGCCUGAGCUGCAAACUAAAAGAUCAACAAUCUUGUAAAGCAGAAAUUCUACCCUGCUGCACUUGCUUUUUGGGAAGAUGCUGUGGAGAUGAUGACACAGAAAAAUGAUGAGGUUUAUACUUAUUUACUAAUCCCACAGUGGGAUUAGUGUGGCAGUGUGGCUUCCACACUACACAGCACCAGAGCCCUGGGAUAUGGCCUGAGGACCAUGGAAAAAUUCAGAUAUAAAGGAAAGCCUGUAUUUUAUUAGGCCUCCCAUCUAUUCUGAGAGUGGCCAGUGAUCUUUAACCAAGCUAGGCAGGGGAUCACCCACUUGCCUUGGACUCUACUCAAUCAUGAAUGGUUACUAGAAGAAUAUAAUAAACCUAAUCCAAAAGUUACAAGAAAUCUGGAGAAAUGAAAAGUGUAAGCUAAGGCACAAGUAAUGCAGAAUGUUACCAAAUUAGGACAAACUAAAUCAGCCUUCUACCAAUGUCAAAACUGAAGAAAACCCAUCAAACCAUCAGGCACCGGUUCAGGAAUGACUCUGUGCUCUAGAAACACAGAUUGGAUGUAAGCACAGAUUAACCCAGGUCCCCAGGGACAGAUGGAAAAGCCCUUCCCUACUCCCUCUCCCUACAGCCGUGCUCUUACUCAGAGCGUGAGCUGCAGGAAUCAUCUCCCAGCACCUUUGUGCUGGGAACAAGGGAGCCAAAGCUGGGACACGAAGGGCAAUGGAGCUGCUGGCUCUGAUGCUGGACGAGUCACAAGCUCCCUGUCCCACCCCCAGCUGCCAAACACACACUUUGGUAUUUCAUAGCACGCGUAGCUAUCCAGGCUGGCUGACAUUAAGGUUAAAAGUAAUUUUGGCUGCAGUAGCCCAGCACAGAGAUUACAAAAGGUAUUUUAUUAUCAGAGUUCUCUAUAGAAGGGCUGCUCAGCAGUCAGGAGGCAGCAGACAGAUCCCUGAGGAAAGCAGAUGACACGUGUGGCUGCUGCCAGCUACCGACCCAGCUAUUUGCAGAGCGUGGCCAUACCUGGCCAUCCCUGCGUCCCCAGGGGCUGCUGGGCACAGCUCCCUCUGCACAUGGCCUGCUGCACACAAAUCACCAUUUCAGCCACGCUGCUCCCCAGCCAAAAGCAGCCACUGCACUUUUCAGCAGUCAGUAUUUUAAGGAGCUCUCCAAUAGCACUCAGAGUAAGCAGAUAACCAUUUUAAAUAUAGACAGUGGAAUGGAAGCCCGAGUGCUGGGUGCCAGCAGUGAUCUGGAUUAUUCGCUUGUUACUAAAUACCCCCUGGCAUGGCUGCCCAGGCCCUGCAGCUCGAGUCUGAUGCAAACAGUGGCAGAACAGCAAACAAGAAUUUACAGGAUUUAGUAAGAACUGAAAUAAUUCAAGGAGUAAGGAACAAACUGGUUCAGGGCUGCUGUUGCUCAGGGCUGCGUCUUUGGAAGAAGGAAGACAGGUUACUGUUUAAUUACCUGUAAAACCCAGCUGAAGGCUUGAUAAGCACUUCCAGAUCUCAGCAGCAGGAAAGCAACAUGAGUAUAAAUAGAGAAAAGACUUGUGGGAGCAGAUUUAGCUCAAGGAUGGUUUUCCUCUUGAUAUUCAGCAAUAAUUGCACCACAAUGUGCCGCUGAAUUCCUUGGGGCCCUGCCUACACUUCUCUGGGGUUUGCAGUAUGCAUGUGUAGAGUAGGGGAUGAAAGUCCACAUGUGGAAAAACUCUUACAUCCCUGACUAGCACAGAGGUUAGAAGGGGACAGAAAAAACCAGCAACAUUAGUUCCAUAUGGGAAAAAAACUGGUGGACUCCUGUAAAAAAGGCAUUAAAAACCUGUUCAUAAACCAGUGCCUCCAGGCAAUCAGCUGGACCAAAGUGGGAACUUGGCAAGGCUUUAAAAGGAUGCAGCAGCAUUGCUCUAAGAGCUUCUGCAGCACAGAAAAGGCAACAGCAAGGGGACAGCAAAACAAAGUACAUCAAGGCACAGAUUUUGCUGUAGGCAGUGAACCCUUUGCUGCAGGUACAGGUGCCCUGCUGAGCAGGGCAGGGAGGGGCAGCACAGCAGGGCCUGCCCCAGUGCCCAGCUGGUUCACAGAACCCCACAUCCAGCCUAGAGCCCCAGCAGACCAGCUCUGCUCACAGCAGAGACCAGCUAAGCUGUGCUGGACUCACAGUGCCAUCACCCCACCGCCAGCAGCAUGGGCAAAGGCUUAUAAAAAUAGCUAAGAUUAUAUAUAGCAACUCUGAUUUAAUUAAAAUUAAAUACAACUCUGAGAAAGCUAACUGACCAUGGCUGAGAACUCUUGAUCAGAACAAACUGUUCAGCAAUUAUUAGACCUCAUGUGAUGACAGGAUGUGCAAAAGGCUCUGUCCUGGUCUGUUGUAAACAUCACCUCUUCUAGCUGAAGCUCUUGUUAAAUAUACUUUAAAUGCUGCCUUUUAACAAAAGGCCAUUUAGAGAAGAAAGGGCACUUUUAAAAGCUGGUUAAUUUUCUCAUUCCUUAUUUGCUUUUUUGUUAAAUAAGGGUGUUCCAUUGUACUUGGCAAGCACCUUGGCGCGAAACAGUGGUCUCUUUAUCUGGUUCAUAAUUUAAGCCUCUUCCAUAUUUUGUUUUUAAAGACAAUGCUGUUGCUAGGUCACAGCCAAAGGGCUACACGUGUAGCUGACCUAUUUUUUCCUGAAGGGCUAGGCACGGCUGAUGAGUACAGGGCAGGAACCAUCUUCCAUCCAAUGGGAACAACCUGUGACACCCUGCACUUUCUGCAGGCUGUUCUUCCCACACUCCUGCAGUUUGCCAAGGGAGAACCCAGCACCACACCCACAGUACCUUCACUUUCUAGCAGUGAUUUCACUUUGCAUGGUCCUUACAAAACACUUUUGUCUCCACAAAGGGAAUUCCUUCUACUUAAUAAACCCGACUGCCCAGCAGCACCCUGCAGUGACCCAUGGACAGAGUUUGUUGUGAGAGCACCAGAGCAGGCAGCACAGCCUGCACAGUGUGGCCUCCUCAGCACAGGCAGAAGACAAAGGUAAAUGAAGCACCAUGAUGGGUUUAGGCUCAACACUCAACUGUCCCCUUCCUUUUAGUGUAGAACAUUCCCUUUGUACCCCUACAGGUUUCUUAAGUACUGUUAAGUUUCACAUGUGUUAAAAAUAAAAAAAAAAAAAGCAAAAAAGAUA